UACAGGGGGUGCAAACGUUGCUCGGAAUUAUUGGGCGUAAAGCGCCGCGUAGGCGGCCCUUUUAAGUCGGAUGUGAAAGCCCUCGGCUCAACUGGGGAAGUGCACCCGAAACUGAAAGGCUUGAGUACUGAAGAGGGUCGCGGAAUUCCCAGUGUAGAGGUGAAAUUCGUAGAUAUUGGGAGGAACACCAGCGGCGAAGGCGGCGACCUGGUCAGA
rnacentral:rRNA from 1 species